ensembl:lncRNA
UAUAUAAUAAAAAUAAUAGCGUAUAUUUUAAUGUUUUAUAUAAUAAAAAUAUUUUUUAUUUUAUUUUGGUUAACAUUUAUAUUAUUUCAAUUAACUAAAUUGUGGGCUAAUCAUUAUUUUUCCAAUAGCAAAUAAAUAAAUCCACAUUUUUGUCAGUGCGAUUUUCUGAUAUAGACAAAUUAGCGAAAGAAAUAUUAUAUGACAUUUAGAAGUGAGAAACGUGUCAACUUCACAGAUUCUUCCUCGGCAAGUCUAGAAACCACAUCACCAUCACUUAAUUGUAUUUAUUUAUUUCCCCCCUCCUCCGGGAAAUAUAACAAGGCAUGACGAUAUAAAGAAACAAUAUAAAUAGACUAUUUUAAAAAAAAAUGCAAAUGUAUUUUAAAAUUGUUAAGACUCAAAUUAUUACUCGCGUGCAAUGCCCGCGAAAGAACCAGAGUUUAUAAAGCGGUGUCCGUGACCGGAGCGCACGCAUAGCCCGACUCCAUUCAGACAGUGGAAGAGAAGUGAAUAAGAAGACACACAAUUUUCCUGCGCAGCUAAAAAAAAAAAAACAACUAAAUCCAAAACAUCAAUGGCGCAUCCAUAUACCACCCCUCAAAAGUUGGCACUAAAAUGUAUACAGACACGCUUAAUCCAAAAAGCUGGCUCAUUUGUCCGCCGAGGCUUUAAAAUUGCAAUAGCAACACAGCACACAUCAACAGUCUGUGCCCUCACAGAUGGUAGUAGGGCCAUUUAUCAUAAGAAAAAUGGCUCUUAUCCUGAAUUUGAGGAGGGGGCAUCGUACAUUUUAAAAAACUGCACUUUGUCUGACAGACAUGGGAGGCUUUAUCUUCUUGUUGGAAGAUCCACUUUAAAGUUUAGAACAGGUCCGUUAAAAAUUUCUGAGGAGGCAGAGAGAGCUGCAGUGGAAUUAAUCCAUCCACCAUCCUAUUCUGCCACUGGUGAGGAGGAGGAUUUGUUUUCCAGGAGUGGAUAUCUCAGCCUCCAAGGAAAGGUUGAAAAAUUGCAGAAAGUAAGGAUGACCAUGUCUGACAUCCCAGUCUUGGACCUCAAGCUAAAGUGCGGCGAAAGGCUCCUUGAUGUGUCCCUGUGGAGGGAUGAAGCACUUUCUGAACUCCAUGACGGAGACAAUGUGCAAAUCAGUCACAUGCGUGCCACCAUUUUGGCAAGUGGCAAUGGAAAAUUUCAGUCUUCAAACUAUACUACAAUUAAGGUACUUAUGAUAAUAUACUCCACAUUACACAGUACAUCUAUCUAUCUAUCUAUCUAUCUAUCUAUCUUGAAUGUCUGUCUUCUCUCUGUUAUGUGUAAAUAUGAGAUAAUUAGUACACACACACACACACACACACACACACACUAGUGCACACACACACACGCACACACACACUCACUCACUCACUGGCACUUGCUCACUAGCGCACACACAUAUACUCACUCACUAGCACGCACACACACUCCCUCUCUAGUACACACACACUCACUAGUGCACACAGACACACACACAUUCACACACACACACACACACACACACACACACACACACACACACACACACACACACACACANCACACACACACACACACACACUCACUAGUGCACACAGACACACACACAUUCACUCACCAGUGCAAACACAAACUUACUCACUAGUGCACACACAUAUACUCACUCACUAGCACACACACACACACACACACACACACACACACACACA